GCGGGGGUGGCCGAGUCAGGUCAAAGGCGCAGGGCUUAGGACCCUGUGGCGUAGGCCUGCGUGGGUUCGAAUCCCACCCCCCGCACCA
rnacentral:tRNA from 1 species